UGGGGAAUUUUGGACAAUGGGGGAAACCCUGAUCCAGCCAUCCCGCGUGUGCGAUGAAGGCCUUCGGGUUGUAAAGCACUUUUGGCAGGAAAGAAACGUCAUGGGUUAAUACCCCGUGAAACUGACGGUACCUGCAGAAUAAGCACCGUCUAACUACGUGCCAGCAGCCGCGGUAAUACGUAGGGUGCAAGCGUUAAUCGGAAUUACUGGGCGUAAAGCGUGCGCAGGCGGUUCGGAAAGAAAGAUGUGAAAUCCCAGAGCUCAACUUUGGAACUACAUUUUUAACUACCAGGCUAGAGUGUGUCAGAGGGAGGUGGAAUUCCUCGUGUAGCAGUGAAAUGCGUAGAUAUGCGGGGGAACACCGAUGGCGAAGGCAGCCUCCUGGGAUAACACUGACGCUCAUGCACGAAAGCGUGGGGAGCAAACAGG
rnacentral:rRNA from 1 species